AGUGGCAGGGAUGGGAUCAGGACCCAGAAUUCUGUCUCAUGUAUAGCCCUUUCCAUCACUGUGGCUGAGUGGCUGGGAUAAUGAGUAAUACAUGUCAAAGUUAACACCCACCAAUCAUUUUAGGAACCUGGAAAGCGUCUUAGUUUCAAAUCUGCUGUGGUGAAGCUGGUUUCCAUGCAAUUUUUACAACAUCCUAAGCCAGCUGUCAUUCCUCUCCGCUUGGCAUGCUGUCGACUAAGUGAUACCCAUCUGGGGAUCUCAGGAAUGGCGGCCCCAGAGGUGGCAGGAGGAGCAGCAGGAGGUGAUGGCUGUGCCUGCCCCCCCCCCCCCCCCCCGGUCCGGUCCGCCCCCCAGCCCUGGCUCCACUGCGUCAACCUCUACAGCACACGGUCCUGUGAGUCAGGAAUGUGUGGGGAAAGUACUCCCAAGAAGAGGACGAAGGAUGAGAGCCGGGCUGGUGGGGGUGAGCGCGGGCUGAAGUGACACAGAUGAGCCGACACUAAAACUUCUCCUGAGUGUGCACCACGCUCCCUGCACUAAUGCACUGGGACGAGGUGCUGGCCAGGGGGAGGGUCAAGCCUUUAAGAGCCCUGCCCUCACGCCUUCGCCUGGGCUGUGACGGGGAGGCGGGAGCCAUGGAGCUGGGGAGGAGGCUGCUGGUCCCAGCCCUGGCGCUGCUCUGCUUCCUGCCGCCCGGGCCUGGGAGCUGUGCAGAGGAAGGUACGUGGACUCUCACCAGGAUCUAGCCAUUGCCUCUUGUUUUUGCCUGAGUCCAAGUGGUGACCAAACUGUGCCUGGGCACUGCGCUGCUCCGCGUGCUGGCUGGGGAGGGCUGGGUGCCGGGGAGGGCCGGGUGCCAGGAAGGGCUCUUAUCCCUCUUAGGUAGCAAUUUUCCUCUUGAUUAGUGCCUCUUAAGCACUGUGUCCUAUGGAGUCAGGAGGAGCAGAACUGAACACUGGGCAUUAAACCUGAAAUACAGAAUUUGUGGUUAAAAAAUCCAAAUAGGCUUUUGUUCAUCAAGUUAGUGGAGACAGAGGACAGUGGGUAGCCAGGCGCAUGCUUUGCUUCCCGAGGCUCCAGGCUCCUGCCAGCGGGGCUUCUGCCCUGCAUGGUCCCCCCCCCCCACCCCCUUAAUCCAGGCCUCAGGGACUCCCGCCCCUCAAGUCCUGGUGAGUCUGAUCCUUCCUAAGGAGGAGCUUGGGUGGGGAUCUCCUAAAAGGAGCCCUUCUCAAAGCCAUUUAACGAAUUGCACCAGGAAUGUUUGUCCUGGAAGUCGCCUCGGAAACAAGGUGACACUGUCCAGCUUCAGGGCAGCUCCUGGUCCUACUGUGCUGAUGACCGCGGGGUCAGACCCCAGCCCCACCCACCCAGUGCCGGCCACCAGGACACUCCAGGGUGAUAGUCAUUCUGUGUCCGGACACUGAGCCCUGGACAUGUGGCCAAUGUGAUGGAGAAACUAACCUUAACCCCUUAACCUUAUUGUGUUUUAAUAUAUUUUUAUUGAUUUCAGAGAGGAAGGGAGAGGGAGAGAGAGAGAAACAUCAGUGAUGAGAGAAUCAUUGAUGGUCUGCCUCCUGCACACGGGGAUGGAGCCUGUAACCUGGCCAUGAGCCCUGACUGGGAAUCAUACUGUGACCUCCUGGUUCAUAGGUUGAUGCUUAGCCACUGAGCCACACCAGCGGGGCUUAACCUUAUUUA